CCUACGGGAGGCAGCAGUGGGGAAUUUUCCGCAAUGGGCGAAAGCCUGACGGAGCAAUACCGCGUGAGGGAUGACGGCCUAUGGGUUGUAAACCUCUUUUUUCAGGGAGGAAUCAAUGACGUGUACCUGAAGAAUAAGCAUCGGCUAACUCCGUGCCAGCAGCCGCGGUAAGACGGAGGAUGCAAGUGUUAUCCGGAAUCACUGGGCGUAAAGCGUCUGUAGGUGGUUUAAUAAGUCAACUGUUAAAUCUUGAGGCUCAACCUCAAAAUCGCAGUCGAAACUAUUAGACUAGAGUAUAGUAGGGGUAAAGGGAAUUUCCAGUGGAGCGGUGAAAUGCGUAGAUAUUGGAAGGAACACCGAUGGCGAAGGCACUUUACUGGGCUAUUACUAACACUCAGAGACGAAAGCUAGGGUAGCAAAUGGGAUUAGAUACCCCAGUAGUCCUAGCUGUAAACAAUGGAUACUAGAUGUUGAACAGAUCGACCUGUGCAGUAUCAAAGCUAACGCGUUAAGUAUCCCGCCUGGGAAGUAUGCUCGCAAGAGUGAAACUCAAAUGAAUUGACGGA
rnacentral:rRNA from 1 species